UACGGGGGGGGCAAGCGUUGUUCGGAAUUACUGGGCGUAAAGGGCUCGUAGGCGGCCAACUAAGUCAGACGUGAAAUCCCUCGGCUUAACCGGGGAACUGCGUCUGAUACUGGAUGGCUUGAGUGUGGGAGAGGAAUGCGGAAUUCCAGGUGUAGCGGUGAAAUGCGUAGAUACUGGGAGGAACACCAGUGGCGAAGGCGGCUACCUGGACCGGUUCUGACGCUGAGGCGCGAAAGCGUGGGUAGCAAACAGG
rnacentral:rRNA from 1 species